rnacentral:rRNA from 1 species
CGCAAGCCUGAUCCNGCAAUGCCGCGUGAGUGAAGAAGGCCUUCGGGUUGUAAAGCUCUUUUGUCAGGGAAGAAACGGCUGGGGAUAAUACCUNCGGCUAAUGACGGUACCUGAAGAAUAAGCACCGGCUAACUACGUGCCAGCAGCCGCGGUAAUACGUAGGGUGCAAGCGUUAAUCGGAAUUACUGGGCGUAAAGCGUGCGCAGGCGGUUUUGUAAGUCUGACGUGAAAUCCCCGGGCUCAACCUGGGAAUUGCGUUGGAGACUGCAAGGCUGGAGUCUGGCAGAGGGGGGUAGAAUUCCACGUGUAGCAGUGAAAUGCGUAGAGAUGUGGAGGAACACCGAUGGCGAAGGCAGCCCCCUGGGUCAAGACUGACGCUCAUGCACGAAAGCGUGGGGAGCAAACAGGAUUAGAUACCCUGGUAGUCCACGCCCUAAACGAUGUCUACUAGUUGUCGGGUUUUAAUUAAGCUUGGUAACGCAGCUAACGCGUGAAGUAGACCGCCUGGGGAG